rnacentral:rRNA from 1 species
GAAUCUUCGGCAAUGGGCGAAAGCCUGACCGAGCAACGCCGCGUGAGCGAUGAAGGCCUUCGGGUCGUAAAGCUCUGUUGUUAGAGAAGAACAAGUACGAGAGUAACUGCUCGUACCUUGACGGUACCUAACCAGAAAGCCACGGCUAACUACGUGCCAGCAGCCGCGGUAAUACGUAGGUGGCAAGCGUUAUCCGGAAUUAUUGGGCGUAAAGCGCGCGCAGGCGGUCUCUUAAGUCUGAUGUGAAAGCCCACGGCUCAACCGUGGAGGGUCAUUGGAAACGGGGAGACUUGAGUGCAGGAGAGAAAAGUGGAAUUCCACGUGUAGCGGUGAAAUGCGUAGAGAUGUGGAGGAACACCAGUGGCGAAGGCGGCUUUUUGGCCUGUAACUGACGCUGAGGCGCGAAAGCGUGGGGAGCAAACAG